GAUUUAUAUGUCUAGGCUUAAAACAAAUAUGUGACAGGAGUGUUCUGGCGCUGUGUUCCAACCUUUAUAACAAUAUAAAAGGCAAUUAAUGGCAUGUGUCUGGCUAAUUACUCAGUCGUGGUUGCUGAUGCGGAAUUUCUCAUCAUGAACAUAUAACGUAUAUCGGUCUGCGUGUGACAAAUGAUUAUUAACCAAAUCUAAACCGAAGUAAGUAUGCUGUUG